rnacentral:rRNA from 1 species
CAACUUUCAACAACGGAUCUCUUGGCUCUCGCAUCAAUGAAAAACGCAGCGAAAUGCGAUACGUAAUGUGAAUUGCAAAAUUCAGUGAAUCAUCGAAUCUUUGAACGCACCUUGCGCCCCUUGGUAUUCCGAGGGGCACACCCGUUUGAGUGUCGU